rnacentral:tRNA from 1 species
CUGGGAAUACAGCUCAGUUGGUAGAGUGCUUGCCUCGAAUGCAUGAGCACUAGGUUCAAUCCCCAGUGCCAAAA